GUUUUUCAUAUUUUUAUGACCUUUAAAAUUUUUCUCCAGAGUAGUCUCAUACACCCUUUCUUAGAUGAAUUGCUUGAUGCUUUGUAAUUUUGUUGUGGUUACAAAUGGGGUCUUAUUUUCUGUGGUAUUUUCAGAUGCUGUGGUAGGUAGUCUCUAAGAUGAUGCCAAUAAUUGCCCACUUCCUGGUAUUUAUGCACUUCUAUUAUACCCUCUCCUUGAGAGUGGCCUAGACUUAACUGACUCAAUUCUAGCUAAUAGAAUACAGCAGAAAUGAUGGGAUUUCUCCUCUAAGAUUAAACUGCAAAAAGAACUACAGUUUUCAUCUCUUCCUCCCCUCCCCUAUUCUAGGGGAAGCAAACUUCCAGAUUGUGCGUAGACCAAUAGAGAGGCCCAUGUCGCAAAGAAGUAAUUUUUCUGGCGAACAUCCAGCAAGGACCUGAAGCCUCCAACAGCAACGUUAGCCCAAGUCACCCAGCAAAACCAAGCUUGGAUUCCUGACCCACAGAAAUUACCUCAAGAACUCUUUAGAACAGUACCCGUGAUUUUGGACCUGUUUGUCUUCAUCCUACUCUUGAAGAGUCUGCAUCUAAAGUUUCUCAUAAUAAGUAUGAGUAAUUGGACUCAGAGAAGAAAAGUAACCCUGGUGACGAGUGUAACCAGGAUUCACUCACACCUCCACCUGUCAUCUCCAAAAGGUGUCUGCUCUUUCUGCAGUUAAGUAUCCCUUAUCUCAAAUGCUUGGGACCAGAAGUGUUUUGGAUUUUGAACUUAAUUUUAAGAUUUUAGAAUAUUUCCACAUACAUAAUGAGAUAUCUUGGAGGUGGGACCCAAUUCUUAACACAAAAUUCAUCUAUAUUUUGCACGCACCUUGUACACAUAGCUGAAGAUAAUAUUAUAGGAUAUUUUCAAUAAUUCUGCGCAUGAAACAAAAUUUUGAUUUUGUUCUUACUGUGAUCCACGUGAGAUCACAUGUGGAAUUUUCCACCUGUUGUAUCAGAUUGGCUCUCAGAAAGUUUUGGAUUUGGGAGCAUUUUGGAUUUGAGAUUUUGGGAUUAGGACUGCUCAACCUGUAUUAUCCUUUAUGUAUAUGGCCUUUUCUACUCCCACCUCACAAGAUCUGAUAGGCUCAGGAAAUUCUGCAAGAUAUUAAAGAUUGCUUAUUGUACUUUAGUAAGUCGAUGGCCAAAACUUGCUGUAUGCUUCAAUUUGAUAAGAUUAGUCUCUAAGAGAAAAAGAACUUUAUUGUCCUUUUCUACUGUGAAAGGAUGAGUUGAGCGAUAAGCUAUCACACAUAACUCUUUUUUCGCCAAGUUACAGGAGGUUGAAGGGGAGAAUCCAGAGGCUGUGCAUGACAGUAGCAAUGGAGUCAAAAUUAUCAUUCAACUCUGACACCCCACAAAACUGUAAUACUGUGAUCUCAGGACUAUGCCCUUUCUUUCCCUGUCCCAUUUAUAUCAGUCGGGGUCUGGUCAGAAAAACAGAAGCCACUCUAAGUAUAUAGAGUAAGAAAUGGUUUAAUAUAGGAAUUAAAAGCUAGGCAAGUAAAGAUCAGGAAGGCCACUUUUAAGAAACUUUAAAGUGUGUGCUUGUGCUACAACCAAUCAUUUCAGUUGCCGGGAGCACUGACCUGAUGAUUCUUAGGAGGAUACCCAAAAGCAGUGAGAAAAUUCCACACUGCCUCUACUCUCUCAGUAGCUGCUAUGAAGAACAAUGGCUUCCCCUUCUCUUCUACCCUCUAAAUCUCAUGCAACUUCCUCUUAUUGGUGGAAUCCAGUUGGGAUCCCAUUUGCAAUGGAGGAUAGAAAUUGUAAUUGUAAUUUCUAGACUAUGCUCCUGGGGACAGGGAAAAGUAUAGAAUAACAGA
rnacentral:lncRNA from 10 species